CUCAGGUGGGUCUGAGUAGAGAAGUAAACCCUAAAGCCCUUGUUUUUAAGGCUUGCUUUUGUCCUAGGAGCAUAACCUAGCUCUCUCUGUAGAUUUAUAACCCGCCCUCCUCUUAGUAAUUUAUAGCACCUCAUUAUUUCCUUUGUUACAGAACACUAUGACAGGUACAACUGAGAUCAGAACUCUUGGUAUGAUGUUGCAUUUCCUAAUCUCUCCUUUCCAGGGGAAGGUGAUAGGUAUCAUUAUGGGGGCCCAAGAAAGGCAUUGUUAGGUUCCUGAGUACUUGGAAGAGCAGCCAACCUGUGGAUCCUAUAGUCAUUAGGACCCUAAUAUCUGGUUUUGGUCAUGAAUUUUCUGAAUGAGAGCAUUUACCGAAUGCUUUCACCUCAAGAUUUGCUAAUCAAAGGCCAAAGAAUGUGUAUCUAUAUACUUUUUUUUUUUUGUUACCAGGGAUCGAACUCUGGACCUUGCGCUUGCGAGACAGUCGAUAGCACCACUGAGCUAAAUCCCCAGCAAAGCCCAAAGAAUGUAACUAAGAUUGCUUUGGCCAGCUCUCAAUUGCUAGAACAUAACUGCCAAAGUGAUCUCCACGAGUUGUGCAACAUUAGAAUUUGCAAUGUUUAUUAUAGUUGAGUGGGAUGAACUUGAGGUGAGUGGGGUGUGCAGGAGGCAUUGUGGAGACCACUUGUGCAGGUGUCAUUGGCUGCAUGUGCACUGGCCUUGAGGAUGACAUUAGAAUGCUGCAGCCCACUUAGGGGGCAGUGUAAAUUUUCUGCAACCUGUGGUAAAAGAAAGGAAGAUGGUUCUAGGUGAGCAUAUCUGGUUUGGUUUGGCCUGCCAUGUGUGAAGUCUUUGGCCCAUAAUAGUCUUAAUUCCAGACACCCCUUCUUCCUUACAGUGAGUAUUCCUUGCUGCUGUACUUGUUACAGUGGUGCCAGAAUUCUUUGGGAUCAUUAAGGAAUAUUUCAAUAUGCCCAGACUAGACAGACCUUGGAAUUCAAGGCAGCUGCCCUCCUGGGGCAUUCAGCUUGUUUGGAGAGAAAAUAAAAGGAGACUGAUGCAGGGUGAAGAAACUGGUCAUUAGGGGCAUUUAGAAUGUUCCGAGCACUGUGGUGGGCACACUACUACAUCAUCUCACUGGGACCUCUAAAAACCUGUUUAUCAUACUCAUUCUACAGGUUCUGAAACUGACGGUGAACAUGUUCUCAAAGUUGCUCAGUUUACACAUGUGGCACAGGCAGUUUUGGAAAGCAAGACUUACUGUAUUGAAUUCUUGACCUUGCUGCCUCACAUUAAUCUGUGCACAAUUUGGUGAUAGCUCAUUCAUGCCUUUCAGCAAAUGGGUCAUCAGAUAACAUCCCAGAUGAGGGGGCAGAUAGCUUUGGCCUUGUCCAAAGAAGACCUUUUGGAGAUGGAAGGUGGACUCUGGAGAUGAGCUUGAAGACCCUGACAGGAUGGGGCAGGGGAUCUCUGCCAGUCAAGCCCUUAGACAAUCUGUCCAGUGCUUCAGGAGGGCAGAGACCCCUGACUGUGGAGGCAAGAAAGUCUUAGAGAUUAGAGAGGCAGUUGUAAGGAGGUGGAGGAAACAGAGUUCAAUGGGUGAUGAGGAACAGACGGAGUCCAGAGAGGCGAUAGGAGAAGUGGGGAAUGUAGAGAAAAGAGAGAAGAUGGAGGAUAAAAAGGGAAAGGUGAUAGUACUUCUGCAGGUGCUAGUGAUGGCAUCCUCCUUUCCCAGAGAACUUGAGGCAUCACAUCUGUAACUGUCUACAAGCCUGCAAUGAUGGAAUCCCACUGCAAAAGGGUUGAAUGCUAUUUCCGGUGAGAGCUGGAACAGAAGGCUCAGCUGCUGGAGCUCCCAGGCCAGCCCUUACCCAACCAGGCUGAGAGGAGGUGAGCUCCACACUGAUCUGGCUGCUCAGGAUGUGACAGUGCCUGUAUUUGCUCAAAUCCCCUGCACCUGUUGGCUGCUACACCUGGACCUCUCUGAGCUGAGCCAAUACCCAUGGACAGUGACACUUGCUGAAAUCAAGGUCUAUUCUAUUCUCUUCCCUCUGAGAUGGCACUGGAGUGGGGAAGCCGCUCAUCUUCUUAGAGCUGCCUUAUAGCGGGGCCAACACCGAACCAGAGCAAAACAGCUCUUCAGUCUUUCUUUCCUCCUCUUUUAUCUAGGGGACAUGUGGGAAAUAUCUGGAAGGGUAUGCAAAGGUUACUUUGGAGGAAGGGGGAAUCUAGGACAUGAAUGACAAUUAACUACAGUUAAAAGGGAAGAGCCAUGUUUGAACUCUGUGUCCAUCCAUGACCACUCUAGUGGUCACGAAAUUCUGGUAUUUCCCAUGUUUUAGCUUUUCUGGCACAGAACAGAAGAUGAAAACUUCUACCCCAAACUCAUACAGGUCCCCACAACAUUAAGUUACUAACACUGGCAGCCUGCAUUUUCCUUCUUUGUGUCUGGAGCAAUUUCAUUAAAAUAGGCCCAGAAUCUCUGGGCCCUGCUGAAUUAGAAGCUACCCCCACUCUUUUUGAGCUUCUUCUAAUCUCAUAAAGAUUUUUUUUUUUAUUUCUUGAAGGCAUUUGUAUGGUAAUGGAAAAAAUCUGUAAAUGGAGAUAGCUUUAUUUUCUGUGUUUUGUCUUAACAGAUGAUUAUUUAUCUUGUCUGGGCUUGAACACAGAAAAGCAUCAGUCAGGCUCUUGUUGAAGAAAAUCAUCUUUUUGCUGGUGGCAAGAGCCACACUGCAGGAAAUAAUGAGCCCAGCCACAGCUGUUGUUUAGAUCAUGGUAGAGCCAGAAACAUCCUCUCCCAACACUUGUUUUUUUUUUUUUUUUUUCUGCUCUUUGAGCAGCUCUCUUUGAGGCAUUUACAUCAGUUGAAAUGAACCUUAAGAGCCCUAAGGGAGUAACUCCCCUUUCCUAUCUAACACAGUAAAGAUUGAUCUAUCCUGUAAAUCAGAAGACAGUAUCCAGGGUUCCAAUCUGGCCUCUGUUGCUCUCUGAAGAUGCUAUUGGCCCUUUAGUUUCUGGCAUAGUCAGUUCUGCCUGGAACUCCUACCCCGGGCAUCCUUUUACCAAUUUCCCCCUCAUCAACAGCUGAAUAGAGACAUUAAAUUGCUGUCCAGUUUUCUCUGCCUGUUAUAAAUCAAUCCAGACUCAAGACAAGGAUAGAGUGACAACUUCAAGUAAGACCUUCAGGUGAUCUCUAGUGGGAUUUGUAGUUUCUUUAAGGCCCUCAUGAAAUUCAUGGUGCACUUGUCCUAUGAAGUCUACCUGGCCACCAGCAUCUAGGUUAUUGUGUCCCCAGAUGAGUUCUAUAUACUUGUAGAUGAAUACACACUGUAGUUGCCAUUCUCUUCCAUGGUAUUUUUGUCCAUUUACAUCUCCCACUGACUUGGAAUAUCUUUGGGAGCAGGGCUAAUAUCCCCUUGUUUUUUUUAUUCAGAGCCCCAGGCCCAGUAUCUGGCAAAGACUUUGUGCUCAUUAAGUAUUUUUAGAUAACUUACUGAGCUUUAAGAAAACCCUGAAAGCAUAUCUUUCCUAAUUUCUCCUUUCCCUCAGCCUUAGCUGGAGCUCCCACAUGGAGAAGGCACCUGGACCAUUCACUUUUCUCCUGGGAGUGGGGUUGCCAUUUGUGAAACUUCUAGGACUGUAGUACUGGCUGCGUGCUGCAGCCCCACAUCUUCACUAAGAAAAGAUAGAUUGGAACAAUUGUCAGUGUGAGUGAUAGGUUGGGGGUAUUUGAUUUUAUAAUUCCAUAAGGAUAAGGAACUUAAGUUAAAAGAGUGGUCAUUUGCAAACCACAGCAGAUUAAGAGAUGGGAUAGACAUAGCUGCAAACCUCUCAGUUGCUAUCUCUCACUUCAUGCAGGAGAAGGACUACGGGUGCCUGCCUUUGGGUUAUGAAGCAAGAAUUCAACCAGCUCAAGCCUUUUUAAUGAGUCUCCCUUGGAUAUCACUGGGAUGUAGAGACAGCGCCUUUCUCAUACAGGCUGGCACUAGGAUUUUCUGAAGUGCCAGCUGUUAGAAGGAAAUGUGAUUUGAAUUCUCCAGUUCAGUAGCUCUGAGGUUUAGGUCACAUAUAAGAAUUAUAAUAUAAUCCCUAGCCAUUGGUAAUCAAGCAACCUGAGUGAAAAGUUAGGAAAGUCACCCCACCUAGCACCAGUAUGAGUUUUCACAAGAGGCUCAAUUUCACCUUUGCUGGGAUGGUAAAAAGCACAUUUUUUCUUUCAGGGACCUGUGAGUUCAUAUUCUGACUGAGCUGCAUACUGCUGUGAGGUCUUUGGCAACUGACACUGCAUCACUGAGCCUAGAGUUCGGCAUCUGUUGGGAAUGAAUAAUGUAAAUUUCUACUUCCGGGUAUUAUUUUGAGGAUUCAAUGAGAUUUCCUGUCAAACAUCCCUGGUGCAGAGUUGGCUCAAUAAAAGGUGUUGAUGGUGAUGGUGAUGAGCUGGCCUCCAGCUGUUCCUAGACCUGGUAGCAGGGCCAGGUGGAAGUCAGCCUCAGGUCUGAGACACAUGGCCUCUUACAAAUUUGUGGUUGCUGUGUCAACACUUCCAGCUCACUUUUCCACAUUUUUGUGGAACAUGUCUAGGGCAAUACUCGAAUGACAUCAAUAUUUUCACUUCCAUGAUGCCAACCUGUCUUCCUCACUCUCAUUAAAGUUAUUAUGUUCAUUUCAUAUGUGAAACAACUAAUGCUUGUAGAGGUCAAAGUCACAUGCAAUGUGAAUGAGGCAGAACUAAGAGUAUCUAGUAUUUUGAGCUGAGUUCUUUGUUCAUAAAGUAAAACUGUAAAAAUAAUUCCCAUUAAAGCAUAGAUAACUGAAGUCCAUUAAAAUACUAAAAUAAUAGAUCCCAGAGAGAUAGUUAAGAACAAAAUGUUUUCUGCCUUUGGGGAACUUUCAGAAUUUUACCCAACCUCUGAAAAUCCAUGAAAGAUUAAUUGCCGAGCCAGGCAGGUGGAAGGGUCAUGGGACUUUGGAGAGAAGGGCAGACCAUGGAAAUUUCUGGCUGGGUCUCUGUAUGGUUUAGUUUGCUGGAGCUAAAUGCUAUGUUUCCUAAAGGUUGGGCAAUAGGCAGCAUGACCAUGGUACUAGGACUAUUUCUGCCAUGGAUGUUCUCUGGUUCUCUGUACUCAGCAUGUCUGCACAUAUCCUGGGAUUUUGACCAUCAUGAGUCAAGGAGGACCAAGAUGAAGAGCCUGUUGAGCCAAUAUACCUGUUCAGAAAUUUCCGUGUGCACAUAGAGGCUGUGCCUCUUCCUGACAUAUCAAAACCCAAGCUCAUACUUGAACUCAUGUACACAUAUAUCCCAGACUUUACUUCCUUCAUCACUUGUGAAGGGACUUUGCACUGUCUUUGCCAUCACCACUGGAUUUCUUCAUUGCUUCUUAUGCCCCCUUUUUUCUUGGUGUCUCCAUUGCUCAGUUCUGCCCAUGGCCCUGAAUUUCACAGGUUAUCUGUGCUCCAGGCUUACUGUGAUUGCUCUUGCCGCCACAUGUGGCUGCUCUUCCACUUUAUCAUCAAAGAUCCCUGUGGGGAAUCCACCUGGUUCAGGUGUUGAAGUCACUUAAGUCCUGACUUUGAAUCAGGCACUGCUGUUCCUCAGCACCAAUCCAUCUCCUGGUAGUUUCAGCUCAUUUGUUAUUUCUUGGUCACAGCAUGGUCUUGACUAUAUUCUCCACUCCCUGCUUAUUAAGAUGUUCCACAAGGAUGCAUAAAAGGUAGUGAUGCAUUUUAGUUUUAAAAUAUGUGCUCAGCUGAUCUAUAAUUCUGCUCCAGGUGAAUUUCAGACACAUUUCUGUUUUUGACUCUUGUUGAUGUUGGGGUCUUGUGCUGUACUAUUAAGCUCCCUUUGCUUAUAAAAUAUUAUUUUCAGUACAUAUCAGGGCCUGCUUCACAGAAAUGUGAGCACUAGGCUGAAGAAAGGGCAAGUUCAACAAGACUAGGGUAAGAGAGAGCACUGAGUUGGCAUCUCAGCCCAGUUACUUACUAGUAGUGCAAACUUGGUCAAAUUAAUUAGCAUCUUUGAAACUUCACUUACUUAAUGAGAGUAUCAAUGUUUUAAUUGAAGAUUGAAUGUAGUACUGUCUGAAAAGGAUUUGGCUCAUACUAAGUGCUUGAUAGCCACAUAUCUCUCUUUCUUGACCCAUAUGAUAAUAAUUUUUGAGUAUUUGGAUAAAAAUGUCAAGCAAUGGAUGACAUCAUGGACUAAGGAUAUCAUUCAUAAGACCCAAGCAGAACAAUAAACUGAGAUUCUGCUUAGACCUUGAGUCUCCAGCUCUCCUGACACAGUAAUUUGGAUAGCAGUAUGUGAGUCAGUUCCUCCAUUGGUGUUUGGAUAAGGAUACUACUAGCUAUUUCUGGGGUGGUGACAGAGUCUUACAGUGGUAUAUAGAAAGCACCUAGCACUGAAUCUAGCACACAGAGGAUGCUCAAUGAAUAUUAAUUCAUUUUCCUUUUAUUCAGAGCUGGCAGGAAGUCAGGCCAACUAGGCAUAUCCUGUAGGUGCAAAGUAAUCUUGAAGCUAUUGGGCUGAACUAUGUUGAAUAGAUUCCUGGGCAGAGGGUGGCUGUGUCCUACAGCUGUGGUGUAAGGUGGCUCCAGUAGAUGUCUCUGUGAUACAGGCACCUGCAGGUCCUUAGGAUGGCCCUAUGGAUUCAGGGAGUAGAAAUGAAGGCUGUGAAAUUUGGGCACAUCAUCUGGCUAGAAAAUGUUUACAAGGAUGAACAGGACCCAAGGAGAACAAGCAUUGGAAUUUGAGUUACAUUAAAGGACAAUGAAUAAAGAAAGAAAAGAGAGAAGGGGUUCUUUUUCAGGAAAAAAGAGUAAAUUCAUAUCUUAAGAGCAGAGUGGAUGGCUGUAAAAGAACACUUUCAGAUAAAGGAAGAGGGUGUACUUAAUCUGGCUCAGGAUCUGGGAGCUUAGAAGAGGUUCAAGUGGACACAGGCGUUGAAUACAAACUCUCUUCAUUCCCUAUUGUCACCUACAUUUUUAAUAGUCUUUUAGUCUUUUUAUGUCACUUGAAAACCAUGGUAUAUGUUUCAAUGCCUUUUCCUGGCUUGUUCACAAAAGAACAAGUGUAGGUAGGCUUGAGUACUUCCUUUAUUUAAGAGAGAAACUCCUUCAUGUGGUGUUAGAAUUUGGAGAAGUUGCAGAGAGUUGCAAGAGCAGCUUGAAGCUUAAAUAGCUCUUGAUGUGUGUACACAGAUGUGUCCCUUGGGUUUUCCAUCCUGUGUGCCCUGCAUUUUCUUGCUGAAGGCAUACACAGCUCUGAGAAAUUGUGGGGCGUGAGACUUAAUUAUGAUAUGUCAACUUGAAUGGAUUAAGAAAUGCCUAGAGGAUCAGUGGAGCAUGGUUCUGGAUAUGUCUAGAUGAUUGACAUGCAGACCAUAAAUGGAGGAGGAAAGACCUGCCCAGCUGUGGGUGGCAUCUACCACCAGGGUUGUAGCCUGGAUGGAACAGAAAAGGAAAGAAGAGGGAAGUCUUUCUUUUUACUUCUUCGGUCUUUGCCAUUGUCUUUGGAUGUUUGUCUUCAGCUCUUUCAAGCUUCCAGCACAGACUCUUCAGACUCCCAAUGCAGAUCCUUAGGUUUUAUGACACAGACUCAUACCAGACUCUGCAGUGAAUCCAGGUCUUUCACCUUUGACUGGAUCAUCCAGUCUCCAGAGCAUCAAAGGCUACUUUGCAUUCUUCCACCUUUGAUUCUGCAGGCAGGUGUCUUAGGUGUACUUAGUAAAUCCUUAAUAUAUGAAAUAUAUAAAAUCUGUUUCUCUAGUGAACCCCAACUGAUAUAUGGGUGAUGCAGUUAGGGUAUUCAGUGGUCAAGACAAUCAUGGGAUGUUUUGGGGUGAGGACCUAGAACUGUAGCUAUGCAGAUGAAAUUGGAUAUUCUGGCUUCAGACAGGAGAGUAUCCUGUUGUUCUUUGUUCCUGGAAUGUGCUGGUCAUGGGUCUGUGAAUGUAGCUUCCAAAGGAGAAGUUCAUCUGACCCUUUAUCACUACCCAGGAGUCAGUGACUCUGGGUGAGCCUAUGUUAGAUGCUCAGAGCUCUGUAGAGCUGGGAGAAAUAUAGGGAAAAGCAGGCAAAUUUCCUGUGCUUAAUGAGACUUCUAUCUCUCUACUUUCUUGAAGUGGUUAGUAAAUGAGUUAGCAGGUAACUAACUGCUAAUUUGGAGAUCAAAGCUUAGGCUAAAUGAACUACAAGAAACAGCCAUGUGCUGGGGGUCCAGGUGAUGUAGAAAAGUUGGAAGAAAUUGAAAGUAAGCAGGGAAAAGAUUAGGCUUUAAAGGUACAAGAAGUGUGGUAUGGGAGGGACAGAGGAGCAGUCUGGCUAGAGCCCCUGAGUGUGGACUGCAGAGUGGAGUUUACACUGGUAGAAGGUAAAUUAAGGCUUCUAAUAACAUUAAAAAUUAUAAAAAACAUUAAAAAUUAAAAAGAAUAUCCAGCUGUCACUGUUUCAGGCAGCACAGUAUCACUGGGGACAUCUAUGUUUUAGAAACUUACUCUGCUUUUUUUCAACCAUGUCCAAACAAGUCCUCACCACACUGGAACUUGAGGUUUCUGAGUUAUUUCCCUCUCCCUGUCUUUGACACAUAUUCUCAACUGAUCUUUGAUUUCAAAUGAUAGCAGGAGGCUAUGACAGAGAAAAGGGUGGAAAAUGAGGGUGGAAAUGAGAUGAUCAAAGUAGGAAUAUUGGUAGGAAGGCUCCAACAGCAAUUUAGGCAUAAGAUGACACAGGCCUGACCAAAGGGAUAGUAAAUGUCUACAUAAAGGUGGGGGAUCUGAACUAAGCACAUCUAUAACCAUAGUAUUCUAUAGACUGAGGUCAGAGGAUCUAAAGUUUGAGCUCAGCUAGGCAAGUUAAUGACUUAGUGAGAUUCUGUCUCACAAAAAGGAGGUGGUGAUACAGCUCAGUGUAAAGGCCCUAGAUUCAAUCCCCAGAACUAGAAAUGAGUGGGGAGGGAAGAGGAGAGGAGAGGAGAGGGAGGAGAGGAGAGGAGAAGAGAGGAGAAAAAGAUGAAGCUCUCUCCAUGGGGUCAGUUGCAGGCUUGGGACCAGCUCGAUGCAGGCGAUGAUGCCUUCAUCUAGAAAAGAUUUCUAGCUUUGAUGCUUGAGUCCAUUGUUGGAUUCCUAAAAGAUAUGAAAACUUAGACAUGUAAUCAACUUCAGAACUGAAAAUUUAGAAUGCUAAGAAAAAAAUGGCUAUAAGAUAAUGGGUAUAAUUUGAACUGUGGUGAUGUUUAAAUAAUGACCAACAUGCAUGUGGAAAUCCAGCAGGCAUUUGAAAAGGUGGACAUGUAUCUGUAGGAGAUGAAGCUUUAUGUUUGGAGAUCUCUAAAGUGUCAGCCACAAGCCUGAGGCAUGGUGGAGACAAAUAGGGAGCAGGCAGAGCACAGGUCAUGGCUUAGUCACAAAGUAAAUGGCUGAAGAUGAAGAACUUGCCCAUUAUCAGAAAAAUCUGAAGACUGAACUCCUUGACUCUAAUUUGGGAUGCUCAUUUCCUGCCAUUCCUGUAUUGGUUUCCUGAAAAUUACCCACUGGGGGGGAUACAAAGACCAUAAAGCAGCCUUCUUGAUACAAAAAGCAGAUUACAGCUACCCCAUGGGAUCACUGUAGGCUCUGAAUGAUUGGAGAUCAUCUAAUAUAUCUGCUUCCAUCUGAUGAAUAGAGAAACUGAGGCCUAGGGUCAAACUUGUACAUUUAAUGAGGGCAGGUAAGAUACUACCCAGCUCAAGAACAUCAGACUUAAUGCUUGUACUUGUCCCCUUGCAAAAACAAUGUGGGUCAUUGUUCAACAGCUCAAAUGCUGGCAUCAAGAAGGCCUAGGUUUGACUCAUAGCUUACCACCUAGUAGGUCUGAGAACUGGACAAAAUUUCCUUGUAAAAUAUAAAUAAUAAGAUUAGCAACAAUGUUAAGUCUCUUCAUAGUUUGCAGGGGGUGACAUAAUCUGGAUGCUGAGCACAUUACCACCACACCAGCACCCAACAAAUUCAUUCAUUCAUGCUUCAACUUAAGAAAAGCUAGUCCCAGGGAGAGAAGGAGUAGAAAGGGUCAGACUGGCCUUGGGGUAUGAAGGUGCUUUCUAGAUUAAACUGAAAAGUAUGUUAUUCCAAGACAACUGGAGGCUGCUUCUCAGGAGAGAGGCAGCCCUGUAUUCAGAGAAGGAGCUAUGGUCAGUCGUGGGAACCAAUAGGAACAUGCAGAGGAAGGAAGCAGCAGAGAGACCACAGGCUGAACAAGUGAGAAGAAUGAAGAGGUCUGAGUGGCUAUCUCAGAACUAGGACUGUGGAAGGCACAUGGCUGCUUAAUCUUCCUGACAGUGGAACUGCUUCAACCAACAAGGUGAGCUCCACUGAGGGAUGGGAGUAAAAGCUACUUGUCACACUUUUCAUGCAGUGCAGAUCUGCAGGCCAAAAUUUCUCCUGGAAAACCGACUUCAUCUCUGGUUCAUACACUUACUUUCCUUUGCUUCCACAUUCCCCAUUCCUGAUGUCCCUUGUAGUUACACUUGCCCAAGGUCUACCUUAUUUGAGUUUCUCUCUGAACUUCCUAAAUCCUGGUGAAAAAUUAAUGAGCAAGAAGUUCUAAAACUGGAGAUGCUGUACUGGCAUGGACAUUUCACCCCUUACAGAAGUGAAUCCACUCAUUUUCUUUUCUCAUAUUAGGUGUUGUUUUAGUCCUUUUUGUGUUGCUAUAACAAAAUGCCUGAGGCUGGGUAAUUUUAAGAGAACCUACAAUAAUUUCUUACAGUUUUGUAGGCUGGAAAAUCCAAAAUCUUGGCAGUAUGAAGAUUUUUCUGCUGCAUCACAACAUGAGAAAAAGGCAAAAGAACUCAUGAGACAGAUAAAAUUUAUUUCCAUGUUAACACCAUUAAUCUAUUCAGGAUGGUAGAGCCCCCUGAUCUCGUGGGCCUCUUAUAGACUCCUAUCUCCUAAUAUUAUCAUGGUGAAAAUUAAAUUUCAACCUGAGUUUUUAAAGUGGACAUGCAAACCAUUGCAAUCUAAGGCUAAUGGCAUCCACAGCACCAAAGAAUCUCACAGCUUCUUUACAUUUGGCAUGAACAUUAACAUUUACUGUCCUUGGCUGCAGCUAAAGGAUUUUAGAAUUCACCUACUUGUUAAUUUUCCAGGACAUUUAACUGUAUAGGAAACACUAAGGUCAAGGAACUUUCUCAUAGAUAUUUGUGGCAUUAUGUGAAAUUUACUUUGCAAUAAAAAAAAUGAUCUGACACACUGCAGUGGAGUCAGACAAAGGAGGUUAAGGAAUACUCCCUCAUGAAAAAGGAAGGGAUAGACAUUCACGGAGUACAUUAUAGGAGCCCAAUUCAGAAUUAGCUGUAUCACAUUGAUUUUCUGAUGCUUCCUACAACUCUUGGGCUAGAGGAUAAUGUCUCAGUUUUAUAGCCUCUCACCCAUUAAGAGGUAGAGCUAGAAUUUGAAACCAAAUCUGUUAAACCAAGCCUAACCACUAAAUCAAAUUGCCUUGUAUUUAUUUAUUUAUGCACAGAGGCAAUAAAAUCAGAAAAUAUUUUUCAUAGGUACUGUCUCCUGGAGUUAAAAAAUGAUACCCAAACGUAACACAUUUCAGCCCUGUAUUCCUGUCAUCAAACAUUCCUCAAUGACAGCUAGUUGCACCUGUCACCCUCCUACCUUGAGAAGAGUGAAGAUGAGAGUUUCCAUGAAAGAUUUAUAGAUUCACAAGGUGCAAUUAGAGAAGCAGUCAGGGCAGAGUUCAAGCUCUAGUUCUCCAAGUUCUCUGUGCCAAUAAAUCCUCCAGCCCUGCUCUGUAGUCACACUGAUUUGUUUUUAGCAGGAUGGAAAAGUCCACAAAUGGCUUCCAUGUGUCUUUUAUUCCAUGUUUUCUAUCUCACAAGAUUGGGUGCAUUCAGGGUGAUAUGGCUAUAGACUCAUGUUUUCUAUCUGAUAUGAGCCCACACUGUGAUAGGUACUGGGAUGCAGGAGAUGGUCCCUGCCAAGUAGCAAAAAUAUAUAAUUGAGUCAUGAUGGAGCCCUGUGAUGUGUGUCUCAUUGCUGGCCACAUAGGGAGGGAGUCACUGGCUCUGCUUAGGGGAGAAGCUGCUUGGGGGUGGGUGUGUCUGGUUCAGUGACAAGAAACAUAUAUCCAUAGGACUUCUCAGGAAUGACAGGCAGAACCUGAUCUUCCAGGGCUUUGUGUAACAGGUUAGUGAGAAUGUAAUUUAUCUUUUCACUGAGGAGACCCACAAAAGGUCUGGCUUGGUCCCAACCCAUGUUCUCCUGUGUCCUCACAUCCAAUUCUCUCUGUCAGACUGAACUGCACCCCUGUGCUGUGAUGUGGGAAAGAUGGGCACUUCAUGGAAACAGGAGAUUCCCAGAGAGCCUUGCCACUCAGCUUGUCUGACCAGGUGUCCCCAUUGCUACAAUCAAUUUCUUCCAGGUUAUGAAGAUCCUGUUCUGAUCUGCCUUGGUCUGGGAAGAACUCUUGAUUCUUCAGAACUAGAGUUUGGCCCCUAAGCACCAGCCUAGUGCCUGGUCUUAUUAAUGAUCCCAUUCUGGAGAUGAGUAGCAGUCAUCCUGAAUUCUUGGGCUCUGUCUGACUUGAAAACAGUAAGGUACCGCUCUAUAGUACAGUAGGAUAAUUAUAAUUAACAAUUUAGUACAUAUUUCAAAAUGGCUAGAAGAUAAUUUGAAUGUUUUCAACACAAAAAUAGAUGUUCAAGAUGAUGGACGUACUAAUGGCUCUGAUUUUAUCAUUGCAUAUUGUACAGUGGUGUUGAAAUAGCAUACUUUAUCCUAUGAAUAAGUAUGAAUAUCAUUUAUUAAAUGAAACUUUAAAUGAAAGAAAGGACAGAAAACACUUAAUCCAAUAGAGUGUGACAGAGCUGUAACAAAGGUAAAAAUAAUUCAGAGGAGGAAGGGGAAGGUGAGAUCCUUGGCAUACCACAGCAGGUUCAUAUGUGCUUUUGCUCAUGCCCAGUUGUAACUCUGGAUGCCUGAAGAUGUGCUUGCAGACUUGUUUUCUUUAUACUUGAUGGUUAGUGAAGAUGGAGGGAAGAACUAGAAUUCAGGCUGUGUCAUGAAGCAAAUUUGCUGUCAGAAAGCUACCCUGCUUUCCAGUUCCAGUACCCUGGCCUUCUGAGUCAUGGGCAGCCUACGCUGGAAGGAGGGGAGGACAUGGUAUCUAUUGCACCAGACCAGGGGGUCACAGUGUACACUUUUGGGUGCAGUUCUAUUAAUUUUGUAUUUGAGUAUCACACUUACUGUCUGGGAACUGGUAGAUUCUUAGAACUUGUUGUCACUGGUUUUGGGGAGUUUCCUCAUUUUCUGAGCUUGUUCAUAGACCUUUGAUAGGACAAUGGGGAAAGCUGAUCAGAGGUUACUUGCCAGAUGCUGUCAUAAGCCAGAGCCAGCAGAUGUCAGGCUGAAGCAUGCCCAGCUCCUAGGCACUUCUUUCAUUAUUUUGUCAUGCCCACUCUAGGGCCUUCCAGAAAGACAGAUCAGUGCUUCCAACCUCAGUUCUACUUGCUUUCAGCUAACUCCCUUUUCCCAAAACCCAGCCCACCUGUUCCACCAAGCUCAUUAUUAUUUUUUCCUAAACAUAGACCCCACUCCUAUCUUUCUUAGCCUUAAAUCAUCUCUGACUUUCUCUGUUGUUUCCCUAGGUAUCACAUACCUAUUUUAUUGUUUGGGGGAAAAUAUUUGAUCUUUUAUAACCAGUAGUUUAUUAUCUAUAGGGAAUAUGAUUUCUUUAUCCAACAUAUUUGAAGGGAGUCUAUCAGCUUUGAGCAUUUUUUUUCUUUUGGUUAUAAAUUUUUUGACAAUACAGUGUUAUUGGAGUGCCAGAUUCUCAUUAGAUGAGACAUAGUUAUGUAGUCAAACCAUCAGGUUGGGAGCCUGGAAGCCGCCUGCCUUUUUUCUGGAG
rnacentral:lncRNA from 1 species